GUUUACUCAAAAGAUUCCAAUGUUCUUCUUUUUAACUGUCAACAGUUUCACUACAAGCAUCUGAUAUAAUCCUUCAUGGCCAGUGCAGAACCAAGGAACAAUAUUGUAAAAUAAAAUACACAUGUGAAUUUUCCACAGCAUGUGUACUUCUGUAUCAACAAUUAUGACUCAGGGAACAAAGACUUGCCAAAAGGGCUUACACCAGAUUCAAAUAUUGAGGUCUAUAUCUAUCUACAGCAUGGUAUCUGUGAGAGCAGGCAACCUGCGGAAGAAAUUGACUAGUGGUGCUGGUGUCUUGCCCCUAAGCUUAGGGUGCCUCAUUAGGUAAAGUCCAGAUACAAUGAACAACAACUUUAGUGGUGUGACAUACAACACUAUGGCAGUGAUAAGGCACACCACCAUGAAUAUGGCAGUGGCACGUGGAUCCCUCCAAUUCAGAAGAGCAUGGACUCUUUCUCCUUGAGUUGCUAUCUGUCCAACAACACUUUGAACCCUCCCUGCUAAACUUCUCAACCUGUCAUAUCUCCAACGAACUAUAUCUGAACUCUUUGUGGUUGGAAAAGAGUCCAUCUCCUCAUCAAACUCCUCAGAACUUGUUAUAUCAGCACAUGAGAGCUUAGGAUCCAUGUGAGGAGGGUAUCUUGCACGGAACCUCCACUUCCACAUCCCUAUCACAAACAUGUAGAGGAAUAUUGUCGGUAGAAUGAGUUCUGGGAGACACACAAACAUUGUGUACAGAAUGUGCACCAGCACUGUCACAAAAGAGUUCUUCCAUUUGGCUAUUUCUCCAAACCAACUUCCAACUGCAAAUAGGAAGGAAAACACGUCCCUCAGACGGUUGAAGUUGGCCUUGCUCCGCCGCAUGCUCCACAGGUGAGAGUUUGUGUCUGACAUGU
rnacentral:lncRNA from 1 species